rnacentral:rRNA from 1 species
UACGUAGGGGGCUAGCGUUGUCCGGAAUCAUUGGGCGUAAAGAGCGUGUAGGCGGUCCGGUAAGUCCGCUGUGAAAGUCGGGGGCUCAACCCUCGAAUGCCGGUGGAUACUGUCGGGCUAGAGUGCGGAAGAGGCGAGUGGAAUUCCACGUGUAGCGGUGAAAUGCGUAGAGAUGUGGAGGAACACCAGUGGCGAAGGCAGCUCGCUGGGACGUGACUGACGCUGAGACGCGAAAGCGUGGGAGCAAACAGG